rnacentral:misc_RNA from 1 species
CUUCCCCUGGUUAGAUGCUAGGGAGAGUUGCUUCACAGCUACUUCCCUUCCAUCAGAAAGUGUACCCUUGUAUACCGGUCCAUAUCCCCCCUCUCCUAGUUGAUUUGAGGGACUAAAAUCUUUUGUGGCCAUUCUCAACUCUGCGUAAGUAAAUGUAUAAGGUCUAUGGCCUAUUCCAGAAAGCACUUCCUCAUCUAACUUGCUUUGUCUUCUCCUGAUGUAAAGAAAUACAAAUAUCAGUACAAAGCUCAUGAUUCCAGCAGAC